rnacentral:lncRNA from 1 species
UGGUACUCAUCUGGCCUGUUUGGCCUAGCUUCUGAAAAAAAUAAUUUCUAAAAAAGUAAUUUUUGUUUGGAGAAGUGAUUUUGCUUAAAAGUUAUAGAGCGUUUGGCGGAGUUUAGAUAAAAUUGAUUUUUUCUGAAGUGAUUUUAAAAAGCUGUUUGGCAAAUUAAAAAUUUUGAAAAGCUGUUUGAAAAGCUAUUUAAUUUUAAAAAUAUAUUUAAAUUUUAAACUUUAAAAUUUAAAAUUAAAUUUAAAAUUUAAAAUUUAAAAUAAUUAUGAAAUUUAAAAUAUAAAAUUUAAAAUUUGAAUAUUUAAAAUAUAAAAUUUAAAAUAUGAAUAUUUAAAAUUAAAAAUUAAAAAUUUGAAUAUUUAAAAUUUAAAAAUUAAAAUUUUAAAUUUUAAAUUAUAAAAUUUUAAAUUUAUAAUUUGAAGAUUAAAAUUUAUAAAUU